UAUGUUAGUAGGUUGCUUGCACGGUUUUCUUUUCCGUACUAGGAAUAUCGGUAUCUUUUUUAGAUUUGUUUAUUAUCGCACUAUAUGAUUGUUUCUUUCACUUUGUUAUAGUUCGCGUAUAUUCUACUCUCCCCGAAUUUCAAGAAAAAGAUAAAAAUGGUCUCCUAACUAUGAUAGUAGGUUCAAAAUAGUCCCUUAACUAUACACUUAACGGUUUUAGUCCUUUAAGUUUGUUACAAGUUAACAAAAAUGGUCUCUUAACUAUGAGAGUAGAUUCAAAAUAGUCCCUUAACUAUGAACUUAACGGUUUUGGUCCUUUAUUUGUCAUAAGUUGACAAAAUGGUCCCUUAACUAUGAGGGUUGGUUAAAAAUAGUCCCUUAAGUAUGCUUAACGGUUUGAUAAUGUCAAAAAAUGGUGUCUCGAAACACAAAGACCGACGUACUCUAUCGAUUAAAACUGAGGGACUCCAUCGACUAAAUAAAAUACACUAGACUUUAGAAAUAGCAAAAACUAAAAAAGUUGUCACUACCAAAAACAAGCAAAAAAAACGAUGGACGGAAAACGAUGGAUAAAAUCGAGGGACACUAUUUUUUUUUUUAAUUUUUAUUGUUUUUUACGAAAACCAACGGAAGUCCAUCGGUUAUUUUUGAGAAAAAAUGCGCGGAAACUAUUUUUUUUUUUAAAAAAGAACCACUACACUGGAAGUAUUUAGUUUUCUCUAGUUUUCAGUAAAAACGAAUCUAGUGUAUUUUACUUAGCGAAUGGACUCCCUCGAUUUUAAUCGACAGAAUCUGUCGGUCUUUGUGCUCCGAGACACUAUUUUUUGACAUUAUCAAGUCUGUAGGUUUUUCCUCAGUUUUUUUCUAUAACCGACUAACGUCCGUCGGUUUUGUCCCGAGUUAUUUGAUCGAUCUAGAGUUCUCACUAAUUUUUCUCUUUUUUUCAUAGUUCUCGUCAAAUCUAACCAAUAGAGUUCGAUGAAUAUUUUGUCGAGACUAAAACUGUCAACUUAUGGCAAACUUAAAGGACCAAAACCGUUAAGUGCAUAGUUAAGGGACUAUUUUGAACCUACUCUCAUAGUUAAGGGACCGUUUUUGUUAACUUGUAACAAACUUAAAGGACUAAAACUGUUAAGUGCAUUGUUAAGGGACUAUUUUGAACCUACUAUCAUAGUUAAGGGACCAUUUUUGUCCUUUUCUCCCGAAUUUCAUUUGGUUGGAUUAUACUGAUUAUGUUGUUGUUGAGCCGAGGGUCAUAUUGGAAAGAACCUCUCUAUCUCUAUGAGGUAAGAAUAAAUCGCGUACACUCUAUCUUCUCCAAAUUCUACGUACAUUCUACUCUAUACUGAAUAUGUUAGUUGUUGGUCUUGGAUUUCUGAAAUAAAAAAUACUUCAUUCUUGACCUGACCUUAUUAAUGCUCUUGAAUAUAUUAGCCUGAAAUGUAUCUGCUAUUUUCCUGUGUGUAAAUAUAAUAUUCAUUAUCACGCUUGACCUCCUUUGACUAACUUAUGUGUUCUUUACAUCUUUCAUUCAGCACAGGUAGAUGAUUGGUAUUGAUUAUCAGGAAGUGGAUUUGCUUAAGCAUGCGCCACCGGAAACAAAAAUCUUUCUAGUUUCUUAGAAGAAUGGAAGAGCAAAAUAUCUCAUCACCAAACUGCGGACUGAGUUGAUAAUCGGAUUAAGGGCAUCAGUAAUGUGCUUAACACCCCGUACCUUUAACCUAAGCUUUAAUCAUGAUCCUAGACUUAGAAAAUUCGAUAAAGAAUGUGGGAAUUGAAAAUUCCCUAUUCAGUUGUAAGAUAGGGGUUUACGCCCAUGAACAGUGACCGUAUUUCAAUAUACGGGCCGUAAUUCAAGUCGCAAACUGGUACCAAGGAUUUCUGAGCAUUCUGGAAUUUGACAUUUGGAUAUCAAAUGAUUAAAUACGGACCGUAUUUCAAAAUACGGCCCGUGUUUCAAAACGUAUUUGGAAUUUGGAAAAACUUCCUUGAUGAAAGUUGUAGAGCUUUGAAAUAACUUUCCAACGGUAUAUUAUGGGGGUCAAACGGACAUCUGUGCAAAGAGUUAUGACCAUUUUACUGAAGAGACGCAAUGCAGUUCGUAUUUCAAAAUACGGCCAGUAUUUAACUAGGCGGAAAUUUCAAUUUUCCAGAACAGUAUAUAUUCAUCCAUAUCAGUUCAAAUCAUUAUUUUUCAUUCCUUCAAGCCCUAGAAUGACCUCCUACCCUCCUCCAUCAUCAAG